AACGCUGAAUUAGUGAGCGUUCUUCCAGAAACAAAGUUCCGAGCUGUUCGUGUUCGAAUGGCGGUUAAUCUACGUUAUGGUCUUAUGACAUUGUCUUGCUAAACCAUGUUGAAGAAAAAGAUAAGAGAAAUGAUCUAGAGAAAAUGUGUCAAGUCCUGCAGCAUAAAAGCACUGAACCGACUUUGUCUCAUGGUGAAUCUGUACAGUUGGAUGACAGUGAUGGGCAGCAUGUCUCUAAUUAAACUUUCCCCGUUAACACAAGACAGAGUUUGAAUGACUCAAUUCUGCUAUGUAAAAAUUGCCAUUGAUGAGGAAAUGGUAAAUCUGUACAGUUGGAUGACAGUAAUGGGCAGCAUGUCUCUAAUCAAACUUUCCCCGUUAACACAAGACAGAGUUUGAAUGACUCAAUUCUGCUAUGUACAAAUUGCCAUUGAUGAGGAAAUGGUGAAACUCAACAAUUGGAUGACAGUGAUGGGCAGCCUAUCUAAUCAAGCUUUCCCCAUUGUUAACACAAGACAGAGUUUGUACGACUCAAUUCUGCUACAUACAAAUUGCCAUUGAUAAGAGAGUAAGCCAUCUACAGAAAGGUUCCAACUCUAUUGAAGAACAAACCUUCACCACACCCUGAUUUGUUUUGUUGUGGAUAGAAUGUCCGAAUUCAAGUUAGGACAAAAAAGACUAGUAAACAAACAGAGGAGAGACUGGU
rnacentral:lncRNA from 1 species